CCUACGGGUGGCAGCAGUGAGGAAUAUUGGUCAAUGGUCGGGAGACUGAACCAGCCAAGCCGCGUGAGGGAUGAAGGUACAGAGUAUCGUAAACCUCUUUUGUCAGGGAACAAAGGCGGGGACGCGUCCCCGGAUGAGUGUACCUGAAGAAAAAGCAUCGGCUAACUCCGUGCCAGCAGCCGCGGUAAUACGGAGGAUGCGAGCGUUAUCCGGAUUUAUUGGGUUUAAAGGGUGCGCAGGCGGUCGGGUAAGUCAGCGGUAAAAGCCCGGGGCUCAACCCCGGCCCGCCGUUGAAACUGGGAGUCUCGAGUUGGAGAGAAGUAUGCGGAAUGCGCGGUGUAGCGGUGAAAUGCAUAGAUAUCGCGCAGAACUCCGAUUGCGAAGGCAGCAUGCCGGCUCCACACUGACGCUGAGGCACGAAAGCGUGGGUAUCGAACAGGAUUAGAUACCCUUGUAGUC
rnacentral:rRNA from 1 species